UACGGAGGAUCCGAGCGUUAUCCGGAUUUAUUGGGUUUAAAGGGUGCGUAGGCGGUUUGAUAAGUUAGAGGUGAAAUGUCGGGGCUCAACCCCGAAACUGCCUCUAAUACUGUUGGACUAGAGAAUAGUUGCGGUAGGCGGAAUGUAUGGUGUAGCGGUGAAAUGCUUAGAGAUCAUACAGAACACCGAUUGCGAAGGCAGCCUACCAAACUAUAUCUGACGUUGAGGCACGAAAGCGUGGGUAGCAAACAGG
rnacentral:rRNA from 1 species